UUCUUCUUGUCUUCUCCAAGAUGAUUUGUAGCCUUUUUAGGUCCUAGAUCAACUCUUGAUCUUCUUCCUCACAAUCUCAAUGCUUGAGAUCUUGCUUUCUUCUUUUCUUGGUGCAAAACAGGAUUUGCCCAACUACCUUAGGCUUGUGGAGAUGGGAACGCCCAACUACCUUAGGCAUAUAAUAGAGAGGAGAGGGAAAGGAGGCAUGGAC
rnacentral:lncRNA from 1 species